CCAAGCUGACCAAAAUUGAACCAACUUUCUCUGUGGGAUUAUCCACGAGAAAACUGAGUGGAUUUGUGAGACACACAGAGAGACAGACGGAGAGAGAAAACGCACAAGAGGUGGGACUCGGCGAGACAGGCAAAGGCAGCCGCGCUUCUGGCACACUGCCUGACAGACACAGAUACAGGGACGGGCUCACAGUCUCCUCCUGUUUGGAGAAUGAAAUUCGCCACCCUGUAAAGGAAGACAAGAAAAUCCAGACUCUCUACAAAGUAUCAUUCACAAAGUCCAGCGUGCAACAGAAAGUGACUAGACAUGUGAAGAAACAGAAAAAUGUGACCCGUAAAAGCAAAUGAGCAGGUUUCCAGUAAGCCAUCAGAUAGCAAGAAAAAGUCAUCACAAACCAGAUACUUAAUGCCUACUCAUG
rnacentral:lncRNA from 1 species